GUUUAGUAAAGAGAGACGGUUAGCACUCCCCUUGAGAAGGAUGGAAGAGGUCCUAGUGGCCUUCUACCCACAUGCGGUUCAGGCUUCGUCACUUAAUUCGCCGCAUCGCUAACGAAGUUGUUUU